GUCCCAUUUGCACAGUGGUUGGGCUGCUGGAAACAAUGCAUUUUCGCAAACGCGGUGUAUUCCAGUGUGUGCUGGUUCGAAUCCGGUAUGGGACG